UACGUAGGUGGCAAGCGUUGUCCGGAUUUACUGGGCGUAAAGAGCGCGCAGGCGGUCGUUCAAGUCGCGUGUGAAAGCCCCCGGCUCAACUGGGGAGGGUCACGCGAUACUGAUCGACUCGAAGGCAGGAGAGGGUAGUGGAAUUCCCGGUGUAGUGGUGAAAUGCGUAGAUAUCGGGAGGAACACCAGUGGCGAAGGCGACUACCUGGCCUGUUCUUGACGCUGAGGCGCGAAAGCUGAGG
rnacentral:rRNA from 1 species